rnacentral:rRNA from 1 species
UCUCCACGCUGCGCGUGGCGAAUUGUAAUCUAGAGAGUUCAUGCUCAAAUUGAGGUGGCGCAGAAGUUCCUGGAAUGGAACGCCAUAGAGGGUGAUAGCCCCGUACGUGGUGCCGCCUCUAAACGAGCUGGGCUUCAAAGAGUCGGGUUGUUUUGUAUUGCAGCCCUAAGUGGGAGAUAAACUUCUUCUAAGGCUAAAUAUAUGUGGGAAACCGAUAGCGAACAAGUACUGUGAAGGAAAGAUGAAAAGCACUUUGGAAAGAGAGUCAAAAGACCUGAAACCGUUGAGGAGGAAGCGGUAGAGAUGUAUUCUACGGUAGUUAGCUGAAAACUCAGCCUAAGCAUAUUGCGGGUGAUGUACGUCAAAGGCAUCCUUGUAAUCUAGUGGAAGCUGAUAAUUUGCUGAAUAUCGUGAGGCCGGAUGGGGUCGCGUGAUCACAAAGGCCUGGCAGGCUUGGGGCUUUCGGGCUCAGCCUGUUGGUGCCGGUGGCUGCGUGGCCUGAGGGUGCCUUGUGCGAUCCGGUCAAAAUGGUCUUUACCGACUCGUCUUGAAACACGAACCAAGGAGUCUA